UUAGAAUCCUCAUUUGGAAAACAGCAAGGAUGGAUUUGGGGCACAAAUGCUGAUGAUGAGGAGGAUGAAGCCAUCGCCAUGAGAAACACAGGCAGAACAAGAGAGGAUAUGUUUUUUUUUUUUCUCCAGAAAAAACUGGAGAUGUAAAGUCAAUGGACUUUGUAGGUCAGUUGGAAGAGAUGGCAAAAGACAGAGAGAGGAGGAAGAUGGUGGGUGCUUUGAGGGUGAGAGGACAUGAGACAUGGAGAGACAGGAGACAUGGAAUGGGAAGACAAUCAGUGUUCUGUCACACUGAGUUUGGGGCUCCCGAGAAACCGUCAUGAGGAACUGUGCCAGUUACAGGAAAAACUGUGCUGUCUGGUCCAAAAAGCUUAUCCACAUGAACUGAAGCACGAAGAAGACAAAUAAACUCUCUUCUGAUGUCAAAAA